GGGGCUGGCAGAGCCCGCGGGCGGUGGGUGGUCCCUGGCGGCGUGCUCUACCCGUGGGGUGAGCUGGAGAGAGGGAAGCUUGCUGCCGCCUUACCCGGGGGCGGCUAGAGGAGGCUUGGCAUCUCCUCGGCCAUUUUGUUUAGGGAACGAGAGGUUCCUCCCUACCCUUUCCAUGAUGUGUGUACAGGUGCUGCAGGAUUAGCGUCCAAGAUACUUUAUCUUUUUGCUGGGCUUCACAAAGAGACAAGGAGUCAUACGUUCCUCCCUUGGGAUGUCUGUAAGGGGACGCAGCUCCUAUAGCCCUUUGUGGGUGGGAAGUACCUAUCACAGGUUUACUUCUUCAGGUUCAGGUGGAAACCAUCACCACUUGGUUUUGAUUUGAAGGGAAAAUGGAUACCAUCUGCUGAAUGACCUCCCAGGUGAUUCCCUGGGAUAGUUCCAAGUAACCCUGAAGUAAUCAGGCAUCAUAUGUAAAGAAGCAGAAAUCCAAAGUGUUUACAAAAACUGAAUGAGUGAAGAAUCCCCAAAUGAGAGAAAAUUUGCAGUGACUGUGCUUUACAGAAAGUACACUGAAUUCCAAGCAAAUGUAAAGUGUUUCCAGGUGCUGGCAUUUCCCCUGACAAGCUACUGGCCUAUUUGGGAUCUCUGGAGACUGCAUCCCUAUGAAUCUGACUGCUGUCAUUAUUUUGGCACUCGAUGCAGUUUUCCCCAAGGAGCAGAGGAAUUGUGCCAGCAGAUGUGGUUCAUGCACUCUGCUUCCCCAGGGCCCAGCAGCAAGGCUGUGCACAGGUCCAGAAGUUGAGCCGAGGGUGACAAAAUGUUUUCCCAGUCUUUUUGGAAACCUGGGGCAACCUGUGAGGGAGAAGGUGAGAUACCGCGGUAAGUGAGAGGUGAUCUGUCUGGGAGCAGAAGGUGUUUCCAUACUGGAUUUAUUGAAUUAUGUGUGUUUUCUGAGGUGAGAGAGCAUUCAGGACACCUUCAGCUGGGUACAGGAUGAAAUACCCUUCAAGUAGAAAUCAGCCUUAAUGGUUUCGUCUGAAACAGCUUUACAGUUUCAGAGGUUUCUGGAUUCACUAAUGUCUUAAGCUCAAAGCAAAAUGCAGGAGAUAAGAAGUUUGUGAUAGCAAGAAGAAAUAUAAUGUUGUUUCUGUUAACCCCAAAAUCCCAUUGUCUCGAUAAAACCACAGAAGAAUGUUUUACUCUUCAAAAAGACAAUUAACUCUAUCCCAGCUGAAACCAGGACAGUGGGAAAAGUGUGAUCUUCCAGGUCUGUCUGUCUAUACACUGCUUCCAUCUCUUGACAGAAGAGAAAUUUCUGGUUCUGGAAGUAUAGUCUCAUCUCCAGGCCCUUUAAGAUGUCUUUGCAUUGGCAUUAUCCCAAGGGCCUGGAUCAUAGGGACAGAAAAGGACAGACUUGAUGCAGGGGUAGGCACCCAGCCACGUGGUAAAUACCAUUUUUUCCCAGCUAGUAUAGUGCUGUCUGUGACCCUUGAAUAAAGGUGGAAAAGUCUGAAUCUCCUGUAUUUGAACUUCUUUAGGUCAUCAACACAGUAAAAGAGAGAGAUUCUGUGACAUCUUUUAACCUUUUCUUCCACUGACAUGUCCUACUUAUUCCACAAACUAUAAAUUAUCUGCCUGCCCACUUCCCUUUAGAAUAUCCUUCAGUAGCACACAUGCUAUCUAUUUUCUCUUGGGUGGUCUUAUUGAUAUAAAUCUAACUAAAUUUUAGAGCAGUUGUUCUCAAUUGGUUUUUAUUUUUUUCGAGGCUGCUGCUUCUAUUUUGAACCUGGAGAAGGACUGAUGUACUUGAAAGCUUAUUGAUUUUUCCCAGCUAGACUAGUGGGCCUAAUAAUAUAGGUCUGCCUACAAACCUUAUUUUGGUCAUAUCCUUGGAUACUUCAACAAUACUAUUUUGUUAUUUCUUCUGGCGUAAUUUAUGGCUGUCAGUGUUAUGCAAAUAUCCCAGCAAUAACUAGUAGUGAUACGGAGAGAGUUAUGUUGGCCUGUCAGCAAUGUUCCUAAACUUCAUCAGGGAAAAAUAAACAGAAAAAUCUCAGGCAGCUGGUGGACUGGAAGAGACUGCAACGCAAAUGCAUCUUCUUAUUAUGAAGUUGCCAUGAUACAGUCAUUUGUUCAUUCUGGGUCGAAUCUGUAUUUUUUUUUUAUUCCUGUGCAUUCCUAAAUCGGAGAAAUUUGGUGUUCACGGGUGUGUUUCUCGCUGCGAGUGGAGUUCCAGAGCAGUUUGCACUUUCCCUGCAGACCUGUAGGGUGAGAGGUGUGGGACAGUAUGGAAGCAGACACUUGAGUCUUGUAACGCUAUCAGUAGAAGUGCUAGUGAUGAGUGUAGGACGCUGUGGCAGUCGUUAACGUUGAACUGUUAAAUGAGACACUUGGACUGAGGUAAUUGGGUUUCUGGCAGCCAGCACCCAUGAGAGUGACAGAUCCAAGUCCCAAAAUGUUACCUGUCAGUCUGCAGCUGUGUCGUAUAGCAGUUCCAGCACUGGCCUCUUUCCUAUUGCUGACUGGGAGAAGAUGGUGAACCUUGGCAUAUACAGCCCAGCAACACCUCUCCAGUGGGUAGGGGACGUCCUGUAUGUCUGCAAAACAGAGCCAUCCAUGUGGUCCUGCUCAGUGAUGGCUGAGACUGACAAGGGCAUUUCUCUCUUGCGUCCCUUGUGGGAGAGGCAGCGGGAAAGCAAGCACAUACUCUUCACUCUCCUCCUUGUCUGGACCGCCUCAGGUGGCUACUAAAGACACUGCUCUCCCAACAUGGCCCCUGGUGCCCCAGGGGGCAGGGAGCAGUGACGAGGUGAGACUCCAACCUACACAGCUCCCACCAAAGCUCCUGAGGUCCCUUGUAAACUCGGGACUUCUUUCUUGUCGCAGAAUAACGUGGGUAAACUGGAAAGGAGAAACCCAGAAGGGGCCAAGCUGAAACCCCGGCUGGUGCGUGGGGUGACGUGAGCUGCCAGGCCUCUGUGGGAGGAAACCGCGGCCACAGUCAUGCUGGGAAUUGGAUUCCUGCCAGGAAAAAAUAGCAAGUGAUAGCAGGUCAUCUGGGGUGCCAGCGCAGCAGCUCUGUGCCAAGGGCCAAAUAUAGGUUACAUGCACAGCCUGGGAGUGCUUGCCGGCCUGAAUCCUGUCUUCUGCAGGUGUUGGCAUAACUUCCCCUCCCCGGGUUUGUUUCUGUUUACAUGAAGCUAUAAAGGCCCAUGUGGCUGGUAAGGAGCAGGAAUUAACUUUUCCUUAAAUAUCAUAGCACAAAACCAAAAGCCUGGUGGAGAAGUGUAAGAAGCCAGCCCUGAAGGUUUGCCUUUUUUCCCUUCCAAAAUUGAAAGAUGUGGCUCUUUUUGGAAAAGAUCUAUUUAUGUAAUUUGUCCUUGUUUUGGUCCUUAAUAACCAGCACAGCUCAGCCAGCACUGAAUGGUUGGCUGCAAUUAACCCAUGUAAUAUUAUUUGUGACUCUUUUUGAGAAAGGACUGGUUUGUCUUAGCCCACAAGCCUUAUUUUAGAUAGUAAAAAGCCCAAUUUUUAAGUGCAAAUGUGAUUUUUAAAGGUAGUUAUUCUUGUCCAUGAACAUGAUGGGAACUUAAAGCAAAGCCUUUGAGAUGCCAGAGGAGACCUGUUACAAUUACCAGGCAGUUUACCAGUGCCUCAGUAAGGGCGGCAUGUUUGAGAGUGACAGGUUUUGUUCUUUUCCACGCACUGUUCAGACAAACCCAGCGAGGCUGAAUCAUCACAUGCCCUACAGCCACCACUGUGGUAGGGCUGAACCCGCCAGUUCUGAAAGUGCACAUUUUGAGGAAGGUGUUCAAAACAGAAACCAGAGUUCAGCAACCCUGCACCCUUACAACACUGAAAGCAAGGGAUUGGGCCGCAUUUUCUUGCUCUCUUUGCUUGCCUUGAAGUGCUGGUCUGUCAUUGCGUAAGUGCACAAGCUGUCCUGAAAUAAAAUUGUGCCGCUCAAAUAUAAGAUGCUAAGAAGCUUGCUUCUUGCUGCUGAUGUAGUACCACAGUUGCUUGUCAGUGCCCUGCCCCAGGCACCACCAUUCGGGAGCUGUGCUGGGAGCUGGAGCCCCACGACGGGGCUGUACCAGGGAGGGGAGGAAGGGCCUCCAUCCCUCUCCAGUCCCACCCAGGUCGGUGCAUGGGUGUUUGAACAAAGAAGUUCUGCAUCUUAAACUGUGAAUUAUGGCUGCAUGGCAGGUAAACAUGAAAUGACUCCACCACCCACCCAUUUAUGAGACCUUGUUUAACACUACUUUAUGCCUCUAAAUGGACCCUGGGGGGGCUUUUAAAGAUUUGAGAAAAUGGCUCCUUGUCACUUGAACCCUUGAUUUGCGUGCCAAGUGAUGAUUUGAGAAGCAAAAGGGUUUCAGCAUUUUCAGCAAAAAAAUUUCAUAACUGCAUGGGACUCAAGAAAAACCAAAACGUAGCUUUUGUGAAUAUUAUGACAAUCGUGGCAGCUGGCUAAUAGGAACUCAGGGAGAGUGGGAAAAGCUGAACUCCACUAUUGCCAAGGAGUGUGUGUGGCUUAAAGAUGGAUAGUGAGCGCGGGUGCGGGUAGUGCUGAGAGCUUAUGUUGUAGCACUGUUUAGCGUAGUUUAUGCUUUUCACAUUAAACCACUUCCCUGUAUUUAUACUUAAGCUUGCUAACCCCUUUUGGCCUGCUCUCAAGAGUUGGAAAACGAUGAUGCAAGUUGCUCACUUUUUUCUGUUUAUGUGCCCAGCUCUCCGUUAUAUGCCAAGCAACAGGCAUGAAGUGUUUGAUACUUAAAAGUCCUACCCAGGAGCUUGGCUAGGUAAGUCGUAAGAGAACCCACUACCUCAUAUCUCUUAAUGAAGAAUAGGAGACCUUCUGGAAGGUGUUUCUCAAGCCCUCAAAAGAUGUGAUAAGAGGAGAUGCUUCUCCUGCACAUAUGUGCAUCCAUAUGGCACAGUUUGUUCUGGGCCAUGACUAGGGUUUCAAGGCAUUCCUACAUUACAAAGAAAGUUGUUAAUAAAUAGCAUGUCCUGAAUUAUGCCUGAGGUAAGAAUUGAUCUUUUAAGGGAUUUUGAAUAGCCUUUGAAUCUUUUAAUUAAGAAAGCUGCAGGGGUAGAAUAAUGCAUACCUUAGAGGUAUUAAAAGGAAUCUAAAAGCAAUUUUAACAGCUAGAUGAUCAAUUGUGUGUGUUUUCUUAAAGUAGUUGCCCGGCUGUUUCUCACAGCACAGGAAGGGAGAAGGCCGAAUCACUUGUUUGUCCAGUUGUCACUUCAGUUACUGGUACAGAUUAGGGUAAAUUCCAAGCAGCAAGGGAUUGCAUUCAGGCUAAAAGCACUAUGUAUAAACAAUGCUUCAAAAUCCUGGUGUUCUGAAUUUUCUGAACAUUUUUAUUAAAAACAAACUUUUUGAGUAAAGCCAAUAAUACUUUCAACAAAACUAAAAUAUAUUCUAAAAGUUCUAAGUUACAAAGUAGUUUAUUCAUUUACAAAUAACUUCUCUCAUGGACUGAAACUGAGUUGUAGUCAAAUUAUCUUUCCUUUAGGAUUACACACAUAUCUUGUACUAGUGCACUGACUUUCUCGCACAUGUACAUUUUCAAUAGUUUUCUUAAAAAAUAGUCUAACAUUUUAUAAAAUUGUAUUUAUUUGGAUAUUAAAGAUAUUUUAAUGUUUAAAUAUAAUGCCUGAAUAAUGUAAUAAUUCUAAAUAUGUAUGACGUUUACCAAUAUUACAUAUUUAUAAAUGUUAUUUAUAUUGAAUAUACUAUAGUAAGCAUUUUAAUAAUUUUAUUUAUAAUUCAAAAAGAAUGUUCAAAAAUAGUUUUUCAUUUUUAAAUCUGUUUUGACAAUGGACAAUUAAUCAGAAAGAAGUCAUUACUACAGCUCAAGGUUCUUUGUGGAAUGAAAAUAUGCCUCAGGUCACCAGCAUCUCCCACAUUCUGAAAUUUUUAAACACUAGAAGAGUAACUGGACACUAAUUUAAUAUGUGCAGCCACUGGAUGAACUCACUUGCAAG